ACAUUUGCCUGUGGAAGAGCCAUUCUACUUCAUGAACCAAGAACCACACCUCUCGGACCUCACUGGUUGGCAGCCUCCUGGAUUCCUCACUCCUCGCCGAGCCUACAAGAACCUCGUCCACCCUCCUCCUUUUUCCACCGCGCCGACUUCUGUAUUCCUGGACCCAUUAAUCAUUCUGGCACACAUUACCUUCAUCCUAAUCAGUCUCACGGGUAAACAACAUCUUGGUCUCUCCGCUUUCCUCCCUCUGGCGGAUCACUCCAUUAACCAAUUGGUUUCCCGGUUCCUGUUUCCCUGCCCAAGUCACUUCACUGUAAAUAAAACACAUUACCGUAAA